rnacentral:rRNA from 1 species
GACGAACGCUGGCGGCGUGCCUAAUACAUGCAAGUAGAACGCUGAAGGAGGAGCUUGCUUCUCUGGAUGAGUUGCGAACGGGUGAGUAACGCGUAGGUAACCUGCCUGGUAGCGGGGGAUAACUAUUGGAAACGAUAGCUAAUACCGCAUAAGAGUAGAUGUCGCAUGACAUUUGCUUAAAAGGUGCAAUUGCAUCGCUACCAGAUGGACCUGCGUUGUAUUAGCUAGUUGGUGAGGUAACGGCUCACCAAGGCAACGAUACAUAGCCGACCUGAGAGGGUGAUCGGCCAAACUGGGACUGAGACACGGCCCAGACUCCUACGGGAGGCAGCAGUAGGGAAUCUUCGGCAAUGGACGGAAGUCUGACCGAGCAACGCCGCGUGAGUGAAGAAGGUUUUCGGAUCGUAAAGCUCUGUUGUAAGAGAAGAACGAGUGUGAGAGUGGAAAGUUCACACUGUGACGGUAGCUUACCAGAAAGGGACGGCUAACUACGUG